rnacentral:misc_RNA from 1 species
UUUCUUCUUUUCUUUGGGAAC